UACGGAGGGUGCAAGCGUUAAUCGGAAUUACUGGGCGUAAAGCGCAUGGAGGUGGUUAACUAAGUCAGCUGUGAAAUCCCCGGGCUCAACCUGGGCACUGCAGUUGAAACUGGUUAGCUAGAGUAGGGUAGAGGGGUGUGGAAUUCCAGGUGUAGCGGUGAAAUGCGUAGAUAUCUGGAGGAACACCGGUGGCGAAGGCGGCAUCCUGGACCAAUACUGACACUGAGGAGCGAAAGCCAGGGGAGCAAACGGG
rnacentral:rRNA from 1 species